ensembl:lncRNA
UGCUCAUCACUGCAAGGUCUGAGUCCUCUCUGGAGUUAGUGGCCAUAUCCUCAGAAUACCCCCAUGAGCUGGAUGUUACCGUCCUCUUUCUCAGCCUGUUGCUCGCUGUGGCACCAGAUCAGAUGCCUUCACAUAUGCCUGGUGUGGCAGAGGGGGAACUGAGAUCAGAGAGAUUGUGGAAGAUCUGUGUGGUCUGACUGGGCUGAUAAACUGCUGUGGUAGAGGUUCUCGAAGCCAGGUCUAAGCAAGUGGUUUUCCCCAUGUGGCACACUGUGUAGAGAACCCAUGACAUUAACUUGGACCUUGAGGGCAAUGCAGAUGCACUGGUCCAGCAGCACCACACCACUUGCCUACAGCAGGAGAUGCACCUGGAAUCCUUUUAUUUUGGAUGAGCACUGCAUUGUGCUCCUGUAUGUGCUGUGUGGGGAAGGGGCUGAAGCACAGAUGUCCUGAAACCUUUGUAAAUACUCUUCCUUCCUAAUGAACACCACUGGUAUUGCCAAUGACUACAAUUUUAUUUUGCACACUGACACGCAAAAGGCCCUGAAAAUAGUUAUGAAAACACAGUCUAACAGACAGCAACACAGUUUAACAGACAGCUUGCUCAGACAAACUACCCAGUUCAGCACUACAUUACUCCUAAUGAAACCAGUCUGGAGAUGCAAUGUGACCAGAAACAACUUCUUUGUUUACUGGGUGUGUUUGAAAGGUGAAAGGGAACAGGACUAGACUCUAAGUCACUGUUUGAUGAAGCCACAUCAUCUCCUUAACUCUCAGAAAUAAAUAUUUGGUUUAUGUUUUUUCUUCCAUUUUAAAAUGUUUUUAUUUGGACAUAGACAAUAUAUGGAUUCUUUAUUGUUUAUGUGCUCUGUAGGAACAGAUCUCUAGACAGUUAGCUUAGAAACUUACUUUGCUUAGCAUGGCUUUUUUUUUUUUUUUUUUUUUUAAGAGGUAGAAUGAGUUAAAUGCGGAAUUGAAAUUACCAUUUUAAAGCUUGUCUUGAAAAGAAAAAAGUCUUAAACAAGAUAGACAAUUAUAUAAUGAAGAUUUUGGUAUUCUUAAUAGUUUCACAGAACUAACCUGUGAUUCCAUCCAUCAGUUCACUGGAAGACACUUGGAAUCAAGUCAAGUCACCUUCCUGAAUACAUGUGCCCUGUGAACACUGAGUGUAGUACUAUGAUCAUCUAAAACCUGUUAGCUGUCACAUGCAAGGAGGCCAUGCCCCACAGGUCCCACAUUUCAACUUUACUGUGACCCAGUUGGAAUACUGCAUAAGUUACUGCAUGGAAAACACUGAACUAAUUUUUUUCUCACUUAUUUCCAUGUAAUUUCCUGAGUCACUGGGAAAAAAAUAAACAAAACUGAGCCUACAGAAAAUCUGGACCCUACUAGAGAUAUUGUCUUUAUGGUCAGUGCAAAAUCAUUCAGAAUGAUUAUUUUGAUCUGAAUCUCCAUGUACAUUAUUAUUGGUGUUAAUGGGAAUGGAGGAUAUACAUGUGAGCUGUUGGAAUCAGAACAGUGGGAUGGGAAUGAUACAUAACGAAGAGAAAACUCCCUGGCCAGGGAAUUCAGACAGUGCUGUGCAGUCACUGCUAUGCUAUUUGCCACGUGCUAUAUACAGUCACAAAAUAUUCCACUCAGUCAGAGACAUGGCCAGAAAAAGCCCUGCGAACCCCAAAGUCUUACAGUCUUAUAAUAACCACUGAAGCACGCCUUCCACCACAAAAGGAAUACAGCAAAGCUCCUGUUGACCCACACGGGAAAAGCUAUGUGCAAUUUAUUCAGAAUAUAAAGAAGCAGAAAAAAUCAGGGGGGCUCAUUUCAGUAGAUCCAUGGCCUUUUGGCAUUGCUCUGGAACUGUGAAGCACAUGUGAGGUAGGAAUAAUGUAAAUUUCUGGCUACAUUCACAACAUUUCAUUGUGUAUGAAUGACAUGUUAUAAAUGAUUUGAGGUUUUCAGAAAAUCUAUUUGCUUCCAUGGAAUAAAAAAUAAAUUUGUGUAAAAGUAUUUGGUUGAGAAAGGAUUCUGUCAUUUAAAACAUUCAUUUCAAAACUAAUUUGGGUUCUUCUCCUAACUCCUUCCACUUUUUAAUUUGCAAAUUUAUGUUUCGUGACAACUGUUGGACCAGCAUACAGAGAGGCUAGUCAUCACUUGAAGCUCAAAUGCAGAAACUCAGAAAAAUAAAAAGCACUGGAAUCUUCUUGACUGUUUAUUGCACUGGAAAACAAAGGAACUUAAUGAUGAUACAAUAGUAAAAUGCCAUCCCUAUUGUCUACAACUUUGUGUAUGUUAUUAUUAUUAUCACUCCCAUUAUUAUUUUUCUGAAAAAAAAAUCAGUCUAGGACUUCAGUUACAAUCAAACCACAAAAAGGAAAAAACAGAAAACACAAUAAGCUGCUGACUGACUUGUCUCCCAAAAUGCUUAGGCAGCUGCUAUUUUUUUGAUAGUAUUUUUGAUAGUUGUAAUUUCAAAUUACUGCAGUCAGGUCAUUUUCAUUUGGUCUUUUUGGCCAACACCAAUGUAGCAGAAAACUGAGCAAAUGGCAUCUAUUUAUAUCGUGGUUUCGAGAAGAGAAUGGGGCAGUGUGUGUCUUGUCUCAUACAAGAAGAGUAGCCACAGAAGGAAGAGAGCUGAAGAUGGUGAAGACAUUACACCAGGGCUGAUGGGGACUUUGGAGCACCAUGCUGUAACAUAGCCACUCAGGGAAGGGUGAGACAAGUCCCAUAGAUCCUGUCAACCAAGGUAGCCCAUGGAAAGGAUGUCUUUGUUGGUGCUGACUGUCCUACAUAAGGCAGGUAGAUCAAAACCUGGCUUGGUAGCCUUUUUGGUGGAGUGCUGAACUAUGACCCCAGCAAAAUCACAUUGGCCAAUGACUGGAAGAUAUGACAAGGAGCAAGAGCCAGGGAGACCCUGUUUGUUAGCCUGGAGGUCCCCACUGCUGAAAUGGCUUAGAAAGAAUGUUAUUUGUGGUGGCACUGACAGUUUUUGCAAUCAGUAUUUGAAGAGGUGUAUCAUCCACGGUGAAUAUGCUGCAGCUGCGAGAUCUAUUGUACAUACUGUCAGAGCUCCUCUGUUCCUUUCCAUAUAAAACUCCCCAGCUCUUUCUCACACUGACUGAGGAAAGGGUAUACCCAGGGCCACUGCAAGGGCAAGGGAGAGUAGUGAGAAGGAUCAAGCUGGCAAAUGUUUUUCUGUUAGAUUUCUACAGAGUUUAGGAAGUUUCCCUAUGUCAUCUUCCAUCUGUCUGUCUGUUCUCCACCUCCAUCAUCACAGUAGUUCAUCCAAACUGCAACAAGAAAAUUAUGAAACAUAAAAAGAAACUACCCCAAAUCUCCACUCUCUAGCAGUUUUGGUGCAAGUGCAAUCAUAAUCCGGAAUUACAGCAACAAACCUUGUAUGCUGUUGUAGUUUAUUAUUUAACUGAAGCAAAUUGCCAUUAUUUUCUUACCAGGCCUGAGGGAUGGUUUGCAAGUCAUUCUCAUGCUUCAUGGUGCCUUCAACUCAACAUGAACACAGGCUGCAAAGUUAGCUCCCAAAUACAUUGGAUCAUGAAUUGAUGAUGGUGGCAAUGUGCUUUCAGGGGAUUUAGCACUUCCCCCUCUUUUGUUCCAAUGGGAACCAGGAUAGGGAAAUGAUAAAUUCCCAGAAAAGAGAAAGAUUUUUAAAAGUUUUUGAGGUUCAUAGUAUAGUCUAAAAACCACUUAUGUUAGGAACGAGUAGCUGG